UACGGAGGGGGCUAGCGUUGUUCGGAAUUACUGGGCGUAAAGCGCGCGUAGGCGGCUUUGUAAGUUAGAGGUGAAAGCCCGGAGCUCAACUCCGGAAUUGCCUUUAAGACUGCAUAGCUAGAAUCAUGGAGAGGUGAGUGGAAUUCCGAGUGUAGAGGUGAAAUUCGUAUAUAUUCGGAAGAACACCAGUGGCGAAGGCGACUCACUGGACAUGUAUUGACGCUGAGGUGCGAAAGCGUGGUGAGCGAACAGG
rnacentral:rRNA from 1 species